rnacentral:rRNA from 1 species
CAAUAGCGUAUACUAAUGUUGUUGCAGUUAAAAGCUCGUAGUUGGAUUUCUGGGAUUUUCAGCCGGCCGGCUCUUAGGAGUUGUAGCUAGGUUUGCAAGUCUCAUCUUCUCACAAUUCUCACUGGCCUUAACUGUUCGGUGCAGAGGACUGAGUCGUUUACUUUGAGAAAAUUAGAGUGUUCAAAGCAGGCUAUCGCCUUGAAUAUAUUAGCAUGGAAUAAUGAUAUAGGACUUUGGUUCUAUUUUGUUGGUUGUUCGAGGACCGAAGUAAUGAUUGAUAGGGACGGUUGGGGGCGUCAGUAUUCUGAAGCGAGAGGUGAAAUUCUUGGACCUUCGGAGACUAACAAACUGCGAAAGACAUUCGUCCUAGGAUGUUCUCUUUAAUUACAAGAACGAAAGUUAGGGGAGUCGAAGAUGAUC